ACAUAGCCCCGAUUGCAGUGGAAAUCCUUUUUUUGCAAAAAAAGAUUGCAGCGGAAAGCGGGUUGGAAA
rnacentral:sRNA from 1 species